rnacentral:ncRNA from 1 species
CGCCGAUGCGGGCAACCGCACUGGUGAUCAGACAGAAGUCAGCAGACGGCAUAGUAGCCAAACGCUCACCGUAAUGGGUGAGACACGGUGAAGGCC